rnacentral:rRNA from 1 species
GAUGAACGCUGGCGGCGUGCCUAAUACAUGCAAGUCGAGCGAACGGACGAGAAGCUUGCUUCUCUGAUGUUAGCGGCGGACGGGUGAGUAACACGUGGAUAACCUACCUAUAAGACUGGGAUAACUUCGGGAAACCGGAGCUAAUACCGGAUGAUAUUUUGAACCGCAUGGUUCAAAAGUGAAAGACGGUCUUGCUGUCACUUAUAGAUGUAUCCGCGCUGCAUUAGCUAGUUGGUAAGGUAACGGCUUACCAAGGAAACGAUGCAUAGCCGACCUGAGAGGGUGAUCGGCCACACUGGAACUGAGACACGGUCCAGACUCCUAAGGGAGGCAGCAGUAGGGAAUCUUCCGCAAUGGGCGAAAGCCUGACGGAGCAACGCGGCGUGAGUGAUGAAGGUCUUCGGAUCGUAAAACUCUGUUAUUAGGGAAGAACAUAUGUGUAAGUAACUGUGCACAUCUUAACGGUACCUAAUCAGAAAGCCACGGCUAACUACGUG